rnacentral:rRNA from 1 species
CAGUAGCCGCGGUAAUACGAAGGGUGCAAGCGUUAAUCGGAAUUACUGGGCGUAAAGCGUGCGUAGGUGGUGGUUUAAGUCCGUUGUGAAAGCCCUGGGCUCAACCUGGGAAUUGCAGUGGAUACUGGCUCGCUAGAGUGUGUCAGAGGAUGGUGGAAUUCCCGGUGUAGCGGUGAAAUGCGUAGAGAUCGGGAGGAACAUCAGUGGCGAAGGCGGCCAUCUGGGACAACACUGACGCUGAGGCACGAAAGCGUGGGGAGCAAACAGGAUUAGAUACCCCAGUAGUCCCUGUCUCUUAUAC